AGUGAACGCUGGCGGUAGGCCUAACACAUGCAAGUCGAACGGCAGCACAGUAAGAGCUUGCUCUUACGGGUGGCGAGUGGCGGACGGGUGAGGAAUACAUCGGAAUCUACUUUUUCGUGGGGGAUAACGUAGGGAAACUUACGCUAAUACCGCAUACGACCUACGGGUGAAAGCAGGGGAUCUUCGGACCUUGCGCGAUUGAAUGAGCCGAUGCCGGAUUAGCUAGUUGGCGGGGUAAAGGCCCACCAAGGCAACGAUCCGUAGCUGGUCUGAGAGGAUGAUCAGCCACACUGGAACUGAGACACGGUCCAGACUCCUACGGGAGGCAGCAGUGGGGAAUAUUGGACAAUGGGCGCAAGCCUGAUCCAGCCAUACCGCGUGGGUGAAGAAGGCCUUCGGGUUGUAAAGCCCUUUUGUUGGGAAAGAAAAGCAGCAGAUUAAUACCCCGCUGUUCUGACGGUACCCAAAGAAUAAGCACCGGCUAACUUCGUG
rnacentral:rRNA from 1 species